rnacentral:tRNA from 1 species
GGGGAUUUGGCUCAGUGGCAGAGCGCUUGCCUAGCAAGCACAAGGCCCUGGGUUCGGUCCCCAGCUCCA